rnacentral:tRNA from 1 species
GCCCCUAUAUCUCAACGGCAGAGUCCUCGACUGAAGCUCAAGGUGUGGUUAGUUCGACUCUACCUGGGGGCA